UCGCGCACGACCUCGGCCACGGAGUUCUUCUCUUCCCCUUUCACCCAGGAGCAAUCGAUGUUUAGUUUGAAGCCAUUGCUGUCCGGCAAUCUCCACGAUUCAGGCGAAAGUCGGCUGCUGGUUCUCUUCUGCUCCUUACUCAAAACCCAUCUGGCGAAGGCCUUGACUUGUGCAUGGGCAAGAUAUGCUAUGGAAACAACUUUGGGAGGUUUGGAUCUGAAGACAUGGUCGUUCCGGAGCUUCUAGAUUAGCCAGAUCAUGCUGGCCACCAUUUCCACUGAGGAGGUUGAGGCACAGAUCAAGCCAUAUGUGUCGAGUUCUUUUGCAGAGGAAGAAGAGAUGCUAUGUUGUUUCAGGAUGCCGAGAACAGAGGGGGCACAAUGGAUCAGCACCAGGGGACUAUGAUCAAAACUUACCGCUGGGAGGGCGACAACUUUAACAUUUGGGAAGGUAAUUCUCCAAUCCAUAGAGGCUGGAAAGUGUAGGUUUGAAUAGAACAUUGCCACUGAGGCAGGGUGGAUUUCCUCUUUCAUUGAACAAAAGAAUUUGAAUUGAAGGGUCUCGAAAAGCUCAAAGAGAGAGAUUUUAUAAUUGUCUAAAAACUCAAAAUCAACAAAGCAGUGAGGAAUAUUACCUUGAUCGUAAAAAGCAGAUCAUACUCGAAAGUUUUAUCUUUUUCAAAAUCAAUAGUAGGUUCAAAAUUUUAAAAUACCCGGUCGUCAUCAUCUUUUCAACGCUCGUGUCUCAAGGCUUCUGCAAAUGGUUUCGUUAACCAUAGAGUCUCUUGCUUGGUGCUCCAUGCUAGUUAUGAUUAGCUUAGAAAUGCACAUUUACAAUCAAGAAUUUAGAUGGUACAUGCGCUUUAAAGUGAUCUAUGUUUUGGUGGGGGAAGCCAUGAUGCUCAAUCUCAUCCUCUCAAUGAGAGACCACUAUCAGCCAUGCCACAUAGUGGUCAGUGUCCACGUUAGUAUCACCAGUCAAAAUUAGU